rnacentral:rRNA from 1 species
AUUGAACGCUGGCGGCAUGCCUUACACAUGCAAGUCGAACGGCAGCGGGGGAGAAGCUUGCUUUUCCUGCCGGCGAGUGGCGAACGGGUGAGUAAUACAUCGGAACGUGCCCUGUAGUGGGGGAUAACUAGUCGAAAGAUUAGCUAAUACCGCAUACAACCUGAGGGUGAAAGUGGGGGACCGCAAGGCCCCGUGCUAUAGGAGCGGCCGAUGUCUGAUUAGCUAGUUGGUGGGGUAAAGGCCUACCAAGGCGACGAUCAGUAGCUGGUCUGAGAGGACGAUCAGCCACACUGGGACUGAGACACGGCCCAGACUCCUACGGGAGGCAGCAGUGGGGAAUUUUGGACAAUGGGCGAAAGCCUGAUCCAGCAAUGCCGCGUGUGUGAAGAAGGCCUUCGGGUUGUAAAGCACUUUUGUCCGGAAAGAAAUGGCUCUGGUUAAUACCUGGGGUCGAUGACGGUACCGGAAGAAUAAGGACCGGCUAACUACGUGCCAGCAGCCGCGGUAA